rnacentral:rRNA from 1 species
GAUGAACGCUGGCGGCGUGCCUAAUACAUGCAAGUCGAGCGAACGGACGAGAAGCUUGCUUCUCUGAUGUUUGCGGCGGACGGGUGAGUAACACGUGUAUAACCUACCUAUAAUACUGGUAUAUUUUCGGGAAACCGGAUCUUAUACCGGAUAAUAUUUUGCACCGCAUUGUUCAUAAGUGAAAGUCGGUCUUUCUGUCUCUUAUAGAUGCAUCCGCGCUGCAUUAGCUAGUUGGUAAGGUAACGGCUUACCAAGGCAACGAUGCAUAGCCGACGUGAGAGGGGGAGCGGCCACACUGGAACUGAAACAGGGUAAAGACUACUACGAGAGGCAGCAGAAGGGAAUCUGACGCAAUGGGGGAAAGCAUGACGGAGCAAAGCGGCGUGAGUGAUGAAGGUGUUCGGAUCGUAAAACUCUGUUAUGAGGGAAAAACAGAUGUGGAAGUAAAUGAGCAGAGAUUGACGGUACCGAAUAAGAAAGCCACGGCUAACUACGUG